CCCUUAGAUGUCCUGGGCCGCACGCGCGUUACACUGAUGCAUUCAACGAGCAUAUAACCUUGGCCGAGAGGCCUGGGUAAUCUUGUUAACAUGCAUCGUGAUAGGGAUAGAUUAUUGCAAUUAUUAAUCUUGAACGAGGAAUUCCUAGUAAUCGCAGUUCAUCAAACUGCAAUGAUUACGUCCCUGCCCUUUGUACACACCGCCCGUCGCUCCUACCGAUUGAGUGGUCCGGUGAGGCUUUGGGAUCUGAGCGGAAAGAGCGUUUCGCUGUUUCUGCUCGGAAAACUCAGUCGAACCUUAUCAUUUAGAGGAAGGAGAAGUCGUAACA
rnacentral:rRNA from 1 species